AGUGAACGCUGGCGGUAUGCCUAACACAUGCAAGUCGAACGGCAGCACAGUAAGAGCUUGCUCUUACGGGUGGCGAGUGGCGGACGGGUGCGGAAUACAUCGGAAUCUACUUUUUCGUGGGUGAUAACGUAGGGAAACUUACGCUAAUACCGCAUACGACCUACGGGUGAAAGCAGGUGAUCUUCGGACCUUGCGCGAUUGAAUGAGCCGAUGUCGGAUUAGCUAGUUGGCGGGGUAAAGGCCCACCCAGGCGACGAUCCGUAGCUGGUCUGAGAGGAUGACCAGCCACACUGGAACUGAGACACGGUCCAGACUCCUACGGGAGGCAGCAGUGGGGAAUAUUGGACAAUGGGCGCAAGCCUGAUCCAGCCAUACCGCGUGGGUGAAGAAGGCCUUCGGGUUGUAAAGCCCUUUUGUUGGGAAAGAAAAGCAGCAGGUUAAUACCCCGCUGUUCUGACGGUACCCAAAGAAUAAGCACCGGCUAACUUCGUG
rnacentral:rRNA from 1 species